GACGAACGCUGGCGGCGUGCCUAAUACAUGCAAGUCGAGCGAAUGGAUGGGAGCUUGCUCCCUGAAGUUAGCGGCGGACGGGUGAGUAACACGUGGGCAACCUGCCUGUAAGACUGGGAUAACUUCGGGAAACCGGAGCUAAUACCGGAUACAUUCUUUCUUCGCCUGAAGAAAGAUGGAAAGAUGGUUUCGGCUAUCACUUACAGAUGGGCCCGCGGCGCAUUAGCUAGUUGGUGAGGUAACGGCUCACCAAGGCAACGAUGCGUAGCCGACCUGAGAGGGUGAUCGGCCACACGGGGACUGAGACACGGCCCAGACUCCUACGGGAGGCAGCAGUAGGGAAUCUUCCGCAAUGGACGAAAGUCUGACGGAGCAACGCCGCGUGAGCGAAGAAGGCCUUCGGGUCGUAAAGCUCUGUUGUUAGGGAAGAACAAGUACCAGAGUAACUGCUGGUACCUUGACGGUACCUAACCAGAAAGCCACGGCUAACUACGUGCCAGCCGCCGCCGUAAGAC
rnacentral:rRNA from 1 species